rnacentral:rRNA from 1 species
UUAAGUUAGAAAGGGCGCACGGUGGAUGCCUUGGCACUAGGAGCCGAUGAAGGACGGGACGAACACCGAUAUGCUUCGGGGAGCUGUAAGCAAGCUUUGAUCCGGAGAUUUCCGAAUGGGGAAACCCACCACUCGUAAUGGAGUGGUAUCCAUAUCUGAAUACAUAGGAUAUGAGAAGGCAGACCCGGGGAACUGAAACAUCUAAGUACCCGGAGGAAGAGAAAGCAAAUGCGAUUCCCUGAGUAGCGGCGAGCGAAACGGGACCAGCCCAAACCAAGAGGCUUGCCUCUUGGGGUUGUAGGACACUCUGUACGGAGUUACAAAGGAACGAGGUAGAUGAAGAGGUCUGGAAAGGCCCGCCAUAGGAGGUAACAGCCCUGUAGUCAAAACUUCGUUCUCUCCUGAGUGGAUCCUGAGUACGGCGGAACACGUGAAAUUCCGUCGGAAUCCGGGAGGACCAUCUCCCAAGGCUAAAUACUCCCUAGUGACCGAUAGUGAACCAGUACCGUGAGGGAAAGGUGAAAAGCACCCCGGAAGGGGAGUGAAAGAGAUCCUGAAACCGUGUGCCUACAAGUAGUCAGAGCCCGUUAACGGGUGAUGGCGUGCCUUUUGUAGAAUGAACCGGCGAGUUACGAUCCCGUGCAAGGUUAAGCAGAAGAUGCGGAGCCGCAGCGAAAGCGAGUCUGAAUAGGGCGAAUUGAGUACGUGGUCGUAGACCCGAAACCAGGUGAUCUACCCAUGUCCAGGGUGAAGUUCAGGUAACACUGAAUGGAGGCCCGAACCCACGCACGUUGAAAAGUGCGGGGAUGAGGUGUGGGUAGGGGUGAAAUGCCAAUCGAACCUGGAGAUAGCUGGUUCUCUCCGAAAUAGCUUUAGGGCUAGCCUCAAGGUAAGAGUCUCGGAGGUAGAGCACUGAUUGGACUAGGGGCCCCUACCGGGUUACCGAAUUCAGUCAAACUCCGAAUGCCGAUGACUUAUCCUUGGGAGUCAGACUGCGAGUGAUAAGAUCCGUAGUCGAAAGGGAAACAGCCCAGACCGCCAGCUAAGGUCCCAAAGUAUACGUUAAGUGGAAAAGGAUGUGGAGUUGCUUAGACAACCAGGAUGUUGGCUUAGAAGCAGCCACCAUUUAAAGAGUGCGUAAUAGCUCACUGGUCGAGUGACUCUGCGCCGAAAAUGUACCGGGGCUAAACGUAUCACCGAAGCUGCGGACUGUUCUUCGAACAGUGGUAGGAGAGCGUUCUAAGGGCUGUGAAGCAAGACCGGAAGGACUUGUGGAGCGCUUAGAAGUGAGAAUGCCGGUAUGAGUAGCGAAAGAGGGGUGAGAAUCCCCUCCACCGAAUGCCUAAGGUUUCCUGAGGAAGGCUCGUCCGCUCAGGGUUAGUCGGGACCUAAGCCGAGGCCGAAAGGCGUAGGCGAUGGAUAACAGGUUGAUAUUCCUGUACCACCUCCUCACCAUUUGAGCAAUGGGGGGACGCAGGAGGAUAGGGUAAGCGCGGUAUUGGAUAUCCGCGUCCAAGCAGUUAGGCUGGGAAAUAGGCAAAUCCGUUUCCCGUGAAGGCUGAGCUGUGAUGGCGAGCGAAUUAUAGUAGCGAAGUUCCUGAUUCCACACUGCCAAGAAAAGCCUCUAGCGAGGUGAGAGGUGCCCGUACCGCAAACCGACACAGGUAGGCGAGGAGAGAAUCCUAAGGUGAUCGAGAGAACUCUCGUUAAGGAACUCGGCAAAAUGACCCCGUAACUUCGGGAGAAGGGGUGCUCUGUUAGGGUGCAAGCCCGAGAGAGCCGCAGUGAAUAGGCCCAGGCGACUGUUUAGCAAAAACACAGGUCUCUGCGAAGCCGUAAGGCGAAGUAUAGGGGCUGACGCCUGCCCGGUGCUGGAAGGUUAAGAGGAGCGCUUAGCGUAAGCGAAGGUGCGAAUUGAAGCCCCAGUAAACGGCGGCCGUAACUAUAACGGUCCUAAGGUAGCGAAAUUCCUUGUCGGGUAAGUUCCGACCCGCACGAAAGGCGCAACGAUCUGGGCACUGUCUCAACGAGAGACUCGGUGAAAUUAUAGUACCUGUGAAGAUGCAGGUUACCCGCGACAGGACGGAAAGACCCCGUGGAGCUUUACUGCAGCCUGAUAUUGAAUGUUGGUACAGCUUGUACAGGAUAGGUAGGAGCCUUGGAAACCGGAGCGCCAGCUUCGGUGGAGGCAUCGGUGGGAUACUACCCUGGCUGUAUUGACCUUCUAACCCGCCGCCCUUAUCGGGCGGGGAGACAGUGUCAGGUGGGCAGUUUGACUGGGGCGGUCGCCUCCUAAAAGGUAACGGAGGCGCCCAAAGGUUCCCUCAGAAUGGUUGGAAAUCAUUCGCAGAGUGUAAAGG